CCCGGCCGUGCACCCGCCGCUAAUGCGCCAUCAACUGGCGCCAGCCAGCCAGCCAUCGCCGAAGAUAAUUUCCUAAAGCCGACGGCCGGGAUCGCGCCCUUGGUUUGCUUUUACGCGGAGGAGAGGAGGGGAGGGCGAGGCCGAGAUGCCGUCCGUGAGGUGUGGGCGGCCGGCCGCCCUUCGCUUCACCCUCAAUCCUUUCCUUUCUGUCGCGGCCAACUCCACCACCACCACCACAUAGCUUUAUUCUCCAAGAACUUAAGCCCCCCUCUCCCCCUCCCUCCUCCGUCCAUUCCAGCUCCUCUUGCUUCUCGAUCCUCCUCCCUUUCCCCUGCUCCCCGCAAACAUCGUGAUCGCCGCCGUUGUUCUUGCCACCUGAAAGUUCCCCGCUGUUAUUCCUCGGCGGCUGUCAGCCCGGCGCGUCGCGUGCAUAUAUGCCGGGUUGGAACGCCGGUGGUUCCUCAGUAGAUGGCCUACCCCUCGAGGGCUGCUUAUAAUCAGUGUGGCCACGAAAGAAGAUCCAGCUUCAUGAAGUGGCUCUGCAAUUUCCUCAAGGGGACGAAGCCCGUGGAGUCGAACCACCGGCGGCGGCCUCGGGUGACCGCGGGAGAAGAGAGCUCGCUCUGGCAACAAGAACCGGUCAGGCCAAAGAGGGAGGAUCCACCUAGACAUGACAAUGAAGAAUUGGACCGUCAGAUUGCACUCUCUCUCGCAGAGGAAGCCAAACGUACUAAAGAGCGAAACCAUAACAAGGGAGAGAACGAUGAAGACCUGGCCAAGGCAAUGCAGGACAGUCUGAACAUGAAUCCUUACAUGCCACACAAUCCCUAUGCCCCCUCCCAGGCCUUGCCUAGAGGGCAAAGGGUCUGUGGUGGCUGCAAGCAUGAGGUAGGACAUGGCCAUUACUUGAGCUGCAUGGGAAUGUACUGGCAUCCUCAAUGCUUCCGUUGCUCUUCUUGCACACACCCUAUCCGCGAGACCGAGUUCACCUUGCUAGGCGCAGAGCCAUACCACAAGUUGUGCUACAAGGAGCUACACCACCCGAAAUGUGAUGUCUGCCUUCAAUUUAUUGCGACGAACAGGACGGGCUUGAUAGAGUACAGAGCCCAUCCAUUCUGGGGCCAGAAGUAUUGCCCCUCACAUGAGCUUGACCGCACACCUCGUUGCUGUAGCUGUGAGAAAAUGGAGCCAAGGAACACAAAAUAUAUGUCGCUGGGAGACGGGCGCAGUUUGUGCAUGGAAUGCCUGGAUUCUGCGGUCAUGGACACGGGUGAAUGCCAGCCCCUGUACCACUCCAUCAGAGACUACUACGAAGGGAUGAACAUGAAACUCGACCAGCAGAUACCCAUGCUCCUGGUUGAGCGGCAAGCGCUCAACGAAGCAAUGGAAGGGGAGUGCAAAGGUCCUCACCACAUGCCUGAAACAAGAGGCCUAUGUCUGUCGGAAGAGCAGACUGUGAGCAGUAUACUUAGAAGGCCCAGGAUUGGUGGACAUAGGUUACUAGAUAUGAGAACCCAGCCACAAAAGCUGACUCGCAGAUGUGAGGUCACUGCAAUUCUUGUCUUGUAUGGACUCCCCAGGCUACUAACUGGCUCCAUCCUUGCCCAUGAAUUGAUGCACGGGUGGUUGCGCCUCAAAGGUUACCGAAACCUAAGCCCAGAGGUUGAGGAGGGUAUAUGCCAAGUCAUGUCUUACUUGUGGCUCGAGUCGGAGAUUCUUCCAGCUUCUACAAGACACGCUCAACCUUCAACCUCGUAUGCUUCAUCCUCGUCGUCUUCCUCAUAUCGACCACCAUCAUCCAAGAAGGGUGGCAUAUCUCACACCGAGAAGAAGCUUGGCGAGUUCUUCAUGCAUCAGAUUGCCAAUGACACCUCAACAGCAUAUGGUGACGGAUUCAGAACUGCCUAUAAAGCUGUCAACAAGUAUGGCCUUCGCCAGACACUGAACCAUAUACGUUUAACUGGAGGUUUUCCUGUGUAACACAAGAAAACACCAUGUCCAUAUCGGAGAAAUGCAGAGAUCAUGUGCACAUACAUAGGGAGAUGAAUGUGCUACAGAAGAAGGGUUCGGAUUUCAGUGACCUUGCAUUUUCAGAGGGGUCAUUCAGAGUGAAUCAGGAAAGGAACUGCAUUUGCUCGAAGUAACAGGAUGGAAGGUGUAAUAAGAUGGCAUAAGAAAUACCAAUGUAACUAGCAGCAUUGCCAAUGCUAAUGUAUUGAGGUAUUUAUGUAUGUAUAUGUGUAAAGUCAAGUUGUCUAUUAUUGCAUA